rnacentral:rRNA from 1 species
GUGAGGAAUUUUCCGCAAUGGGCGAAAGCCUGACGGAGCAAUGCCGCGUGAAGGAUGAAGGCCUAUGGGUUGUAAACUUCUUUUCUCAGAAAAGAAUUAUGACGGUAUCUGAGGAAUAAGCAUCGGCUAACUCUGUGCCAGCAGCCGCGGUAAGACAGAGGAUGCAAGCGUUAUCCGGAAUGAUUGGGCGUAAAGCGUCUGUAGGUUGUUUAAAAAGUAUUCUGUCAAAGAUUAGGGCUUAACCCUAGAUAGGCAGAAUAAACUUUUAAGCUAGAGUUUGGUAGAGGCAGAGGGAAUUCCCGGUGGAGCGGUGAAAUGCGUAGAUAUCGGGAGGAACAACAAAGGCGAAGGCACUCUGCUGGGCCAAUACUAACACUGAGAGACGAAAGCGAGGGGAGCAAAUGGGAUUAGAUACCCGGGUAGUCC